UAAGCAACUAUACCGUGAACUGCGAAUGGCUCAUUAUAUCAGUAAUUGUUUAUUUGAUAGUACCUAUUUACCUGGAUACCCGUGGUAAUUCUAGAGCUAAUACAUGCUAAAAACCCCGACUUCGGAAGGGGUGUAUUUAUUAGAUAAAAAACCAAUGCCCUCUGGGGCUCCCUGGUGAUUCAUAAUAACUUAACGAAUCGCAUGGCCUUGCGCUGGCGAUGGUUCAUUCAAAUUUCUGCCCUAUCAACUUUCGAUGGUAGGAUAGUGGCCUACCAUGGUAUCAACGGGUAACGGGGAAUUAGGGUUCUAUUCCGGAGAGGGAGCCUGAGAAACGGCUACCACAUCCAAGGAAGGCAGCAGGCGCGCAAAUUACCCAAUCCCAAUACGGGGAGGUAGUGACAAUAAAUACUGAUACAGGGCUCUUUUGGGUCUUGUAAUUGGAAUGAGUACAACUUAAAUCCCUUAACGAGGAACAAUUGGAGGGCAAGUCUGGUGCCAGCAGCCGCGGUAAUUCCAGCUCCAAUAGCGUAUAUUAAAGUUGUUGCAGUUAAAAAGCUCGUAGUUGAACCUUGGGCCUGGCUGGUCGGUCCGCCUCACCGCGUGCACUGAUCCGGCCGGGCCUUUCCUUCUGGGGAGCCGCAUGCCCUUCACUGGGUGUGUCGGGGAACCAGGACUUUUACUUUGAAAAAAUUAGAGUGUUCAAAGCAGGCCUAUGCUCGAAUACAUUAGCAUGGAAUAAUAGAAUAGGACGUGUGGUUCUAUUUUGUUGGUUUCUAGAAUCGCCGUAAUGAUUAAUAGGGAUAGUCGGGGGCAUCAGUAUUCAAUUGUCAGAGGUGAAAUUCUUGGAUUUAUUGAAGACUAACUACUGCGAAAGCAUUUGCCAAGGAUGUUUUCAUUAAUCAGUGAACGAAAGUUAGGGGAUCGAAGACGAUCAGAUACCGUCGUAGUCUUAACCAUAAACUAUGCCGACUAGGGAUCGGGCGAUGUUAUUUUUUGACUCGCUCGGCACCUUACGAGAAAUCAAAGUCUUGG
rnacentral:rRNA from 1 species